rnacentral:lncRNA from 12 species
GAAAUUGAAGAGAAAGAAGAAUUUCAUUCCACUCCACUUAUUUGGUUUAAAUUCACUUCAAAAAAAUAUGAAAUGUCUCAUUCAGUUUAAUUCAUGCAAAUGAAGCCUAUAGAGGAUGACAGAAAUCAUAUGGUAAAGACUUUCCCAAAUGCUCUGACUGAGAGUGAAGCAGUUUUACACCGUUUUUGAGGGGGAUACCAUAAAAUACUGUUGAAAUAGCUGGAGAUUGUAUUGAAAACCUUCGUAGAUUGGAGGAGAGUAAUAAUUUAGGAUUCAAAUUAAAAAGAAGAUUCCAAUAACCUGGGAAACAGUGUGCUGAAACUGGAUUUUUGCAGAAGAGACAAGAGGCUACCUAAUAAUGCUACUUCUGCAAAUGGGUGUCCAGAAUUGAAAGGUGUGACUGAAUCACUGACUUCUUAUCUGGCGAUUAGAUGUGAACUACCGUGGAUGUAAGAAUCACAGUAUCUCCUAAAAGAGAAAGCUAUUCCAGUCAUUGAUGGGGAGCUCCAUGAUCACUUUGGGUCAGAAAUCUCCCAUGAGGUUAAGGAUGGAACUGGUCAACUUGAAAACAAAUGGUCAAAGUCUCAGACCAGGAACACUUAAAGUUCCUGCUAACAACAACAAAAGACAAGCUUGCUAAACAGGUAGCUUUGAUAUGUGUACAAGGUUAAGGGAGAAAACUCAGUUUGGAUGUGUUUUCCACAUGAUGAUAAGGUCUGAUGCUGGCUACAAUGUAUUGACUGU